rnacentral:rRNA from 1 species
CCUACGGGAGGCAGCAGGGGGGAAUAUUGCACAAUGGGGGAAACCCUGAUGCAGCGACGCCGCGUGAGUGAAGAAGUAGUUCGGUAGGUAAAGCUCUAUCAGCAGGGAAGAAAAUGACGGUACCUGAGGAAGAAGCCCCGGCUAACGACGUGCCAGCAGCCGCGGUAAUACGUAGGGGGCAAGCGUUAUCCGGAUUUACUGGGUGGAAAGGGAGCGGAGACGGCAGCACAAGUCGGGAGUGAAAUGCCGGGGCUGAACCCCGGAACUGCUUUGGAAACUGUGCAGCUAGAGUGCAGGAGAGGUCAGUGGAAUUCCUCGUGUAGCGGUGAACUGCUUCUAUAUU